rnacentral:rRNA from 1 species
AACGCUGGCGGCGUGCCUAACACAUGCAAGUCGAGCGAUGAGGCUCCCUUCGGGGGGUACAUCAGCGGCGAACGGGUGAGUAACACGUGGGUGACCUUCCCCAAAGACGGGGAUAACUCUUGGAAGCAGGGGCUAAUACCCGAUGUGCUCAGCAGUUCACUCUGUUGAGUAAAGCUAUGGCGCUUUGGGAUGGGCCCGCGGCCCAUCAGCUAGUUGGUAGGGUAAAGGCCUACCAAGGCUAAGACGGGUAGGGGGCGUGAGAGCGCGAUCCCCCACACUGGCACUGAGACACGGGCCAGACUCCUACGGGAGGCAGCAGUGAGGAAUAUUGCGCAAUGGACGAAAGUCUGACGCAGCGACGCCGCGUGGGCGAUGAAGGCCUUCGGGUCGUAAAGCCCUUUUCUGGGGGAAGAGAAAGGACGGUACCCCAGGAAUAAGCCCCGGCUAACUACGUGCCAGCAGCCGCGGUAAAACGUAGGGGGCAAGCGUUAUCCGGAUUUACUGGGCGUAAAGAGCGUUGAGGCGGUUUUGUAGGUUGGGCGUGAAAGCCCUGGGCUUAACUCAGGGAAGCCGUUCAAUACUGCGAAACUUGAGGGCAGCAGAGGGAGGUGGAAUUCCCGGAGUAGCGGUGAAAUGCGUAGAUAUCGGGAGGAACACCAGUGGCGAAGGCGGCCUCCUGGGCUGCUCCUGACGCUGAAGGCGAAAGCUAGGGGAGCGAACGGGAUUAGAAACCCCGGUAGUCCUAGCCGUAAACGAUGGAUGCUAGGUGUGGGGGGUGUAGAUUCCCUCCGUGCCGCAGUUAACGCGUUAAGCAUCCCGCCUGGGGAGUACGGCCGCAAGGCUAAAACUCAAACGAAUUGACGGGGGCCCGCACAAGCAGCGGAGCGUGUGGUUUAAUUCGAUGCUACACGAAGAACCUUACCUGGGCUUGACAUACAGGUAGUAGUGAAGUGAAAGCGGAUCGAUCCUUCGGGGAGCCUGUACAGGUGCUGCAUGGCUAUCGUCAGCUCGUGCCGUGAGGUGUCGGGUUAAGUCCCGUAACGAGCGCAACCCUUGCUCUUAGUUAUACGUGUCUAAGAGGACUGCCGGCGGUAAGCCGGAGGAAGGUGGGGAUGACGUCAAGUCAGCAUGG